ensembl:lncRNA novel transcript
AUAGAGAAGCCAAUGAAAAGGUGCUUAAAGAAGUAUUUGCAAAACAUGGUCCCCUUUUGGAAGUUCUUUUGAUAAAAGGUCGAACCAGUAAGUCCAGAGAUUUUGUGGUCAUUAUUUUUGAGAAUGCUGCAGAUGCUAAGAAUGCUGCCAGAGAUAUGAAUGGAAAGUCUUUGGAUGGAAAAGAAAUAAAAGUAGAACAAGCAAAGAAACCAUCUUUUCCAAGUGGUGGUAGGCGGAGACCACCACCUUCUUCAAGAAACAGAAGCCCUUCAGGAAGUCUGAGAUCUGCAAGAGGAAGUAGUGGAGGAACAAGACCGUGGCUGCCCUCACAUGAAGGACACUUGGAUGAUGGUGGAUACGCUCUUGAUCUCAACACGAGUUCUUCUAGGGGA